UACGGAGGGUGCGAGCGUUGUUCGGCAUCACUGGGCGUAAAGCGCGUGUAGGCGGCCUUUUAAGUCUGAUGUGAAAGCCCGGGGCUCACCCCCGGAAGUGCAUUGGAAACUGGGAGGCUAGAGUACCGGAGAGGAAGGUGGAAUUCCUGGUGUAGCGGUGAAAUGCGUAGAUAUCAGGAGGAACACCGGUGGCGAAAGCGGCGCACUGGACCAUAACUGACGCUGAGGCGCGAAAGCGAGGGGAGCAAACAGG
rnacentral:rRNA from 1 species